CGAUACAGGGUGAGAGCCCCGUACACAAAAGCGCACAUGCUGUGAGCUCGAUGAGUAGGGCGGGACACGUGGUAUCCUGUCUGAAUAUGGGGGGACCAUCCUCCAAGGCUAAAUACUCCUGACUGACCGAUAGUGAACCAGUACCGUGAGGGAAAGGCGAAAAGAACCCCGGCGAGGGGAGUGAAACAGAACCUGAAACCGUGUACGUACAAGCAGUGGGAGCCUCUCUUUAUGGGGGGUGACUGCGUACCUUUUGUAUAAUGGGUCAGCGACUUAUAUUCUGUAGCAAGGUUAACCGCAUAGGGGAGCCGAAGGGAAACCGAGUCUUAACCGGGCGUUAAGUUGCAGGGUAUAGACCCGAAACCCGGUGAUCUAGCCAUGGGCAGGUUGAAGGUUGGGUAACACUAACUGGAGGACCGAACCGACUAAUGUUGAAAAAUUAGCGGAUGACCUGUGGCUGGGGGUGAAAGGCCAAUCAAACCGGGAGAUAGCUGGUUCUCCCCGAAAGCUAUUUAGGUAGCGCCUCGUGAACUCAUCUCCGGGGGUAGAGCACUGUUUCGGCUAGGGGGCCAUCCCGGCUUACCAACCCGAUGCAAACUGCGAAUACCGGAGAAUGUUAUCACGGGAGACACACGGCGGGUGCUAACGUCCGUCGUGAAGAGGGAAACAACCCAGACCGCCAGCUAAGGUCCCAAAGUCAUGGUUAAGUGGGAAACGAUGUGGGAAGGCCCAGACAGCCAGGAUGUUGGCUUAGAAGCAGCCAUCAUUUAAAGAAAGCGUAAUAGCUCACUGGUCGAGUCGGCCUGCGCGGAAGAUGUAACGGGGCUAAACCAUGCACCGAAGCUGCGGCAGCGACACUUUAGUGUUGUUGGGUAGGGGAGCGUUCUGUAAGCCGUUGAAGGUGUCCUGUGAGGGGUGCUGGAGGUAUCAGAAGUGCGAAUGCUGACAUAAGUAACGAUAAAGCGGGUGAAAAGCCCGCUCGCCGGAAGACCAAGGGUUCCUGUCCAACGUUAAUCGGGGCAGGGUGAGUCGACCCCUAAGGCGAGGCCGAAAGGCGUAGUCGAUGGGAAACGGGUUAAUAUUCCCGUACUUGGUGUUACUGCGAAGGGGGGACGGAGAAGG
rnacentral:rRNA from 1 species